rnacentral:rRNA from 1 species
AUGGGGACUUUUGGGUACAUGGUGCCGGAGUACACCAACACCGGGAAAAUAACCGACCGGUCCGACGUCUUCUCCUUCGGCCUUGUGCUUCUGGAGAUCAUCACCGGCAAGAGACCGGUCCUGGCCGACGAGCCCAACGGGGACGACGAGACUCUGGUCUCUUGGACUCGAAGGAGACCAUAUGCAAGGCACCUCCUCUUCGGUUGUGAGAGUGUCCAGGGGUCGUGGGUGCGGCUAAUGCCUAUGUCUGUGGCCGCACUUGACACUGCCCUCUCUUUAAGGGCACAUAUCAUUUUUUACAACUCUGCUAUCUUUUCCCAAGUCUUUAUUAUCUUGCCUAGCCUUGUACUGAUAUGUAUUAUUUGA